CGGGGUGGAGUAAUGUCUGGGAAACUGCCUGAUGGAGGGGGAUAACUGCUGGAAACGGUAGCUAAUACCGCAUAACGUCGCAAGACCAAAGAGGGGGACCUUCGGGCCUCUUGCCAUCGGAUGUGCCCAGAUGGGAUUAGCUAGUAGGUGGGGUAACGGCUCACCUAGGCGACGAUCCCUAGCUGGUCUGAGAGGAUGGCCAGCCACACUGGAACUGAGACACGGUCCAG
rnacentral:rRNA from 1 species